AAACUCUAUCAAAAUCCAUUCCCAAACUAAAACUCCAGCAUAUGGUGAAGGGUGUCCCAAGCUCGGACCCGUCAAUCUUAUUGUUAGCAACGAUCUAAUUUUUUGCUUCAUAGCUUCCUCUUCGCAUUAACACCAUAUCACCAAGUUCACCAAUGCAUCCUAUCUCACGAACCACACUAUAUUCAUUUUUUUAGGAUUUUUGGAGAGAGGGGACUUGGCAAGUUUUGAUGAGGCUGGUAGGGGGUGUUUUAGAAGACUUUAGGAAGGAGAGGAUGAAUAAAAAUCGAGUGGUGCGAAGAUAGAGGGAGAGAAGAAAAGAGGAGAACAAGGGGGAAUGGCAAGAAUGAAG
rnacentral:misc_RNA from 1 species